GGGAGGUCUUUUGUCUGACUGCUUCUUUACCAAAUUUGUGGAGAUAUAAGUAGACUAAACAGAAAGAAACUGAUAUAUAUAGGUUGAUUUACUUAGAGAAAAAAGUAGCUAGGAAGGGAAGGGGACAUUAGGAGAAGAGGAAAAACUAACAGGGAGAUAGGGAGUGAAGUUUUGGAGGGCUUUAGAAGAAAGAAAAUAAGAAGUGGAGUAGCUGCUAUGUGGUGUGAGAUUUGGGGGAGAUCGAGUGGUAAAACAACUUUUAGGAAGUUUUCCUGUGUGAAAAGAUAAGGCGGUUUGCUGAAUAUCCUAAGAUGCAAUUUUUCAUUAAUUCUUCCAUAUACUCUGAAGACAUUUCAGUAAAGAUAUCUACAUUUUUCUUCAAUACUUUCAGAGUUAAAAAUUGUGUUCCUUUCUCAUGCAUCACCAUACUGAGAUGAGAUCUUUCUAUUUGACAGGCAUAUAGAUCAAGAUUUUGAUGGAAGAGCUUAAGGUACCAUAUCAAUAAAUUAGGUUAUAUAGAUAAAAUAGAAUAUGCAAAAAAGAUAAUACAACUUUCCUUUAUGGCCCCACCAUAAACUAAGAUCAGACCCUAUGUAAUGUCUUGUAUCCUUUUUCCACUAGCCAUAUAUACAGAUACAUCUCAUUGCAUUCCAUUUGAAGAUUGCACUGUGUAAGGUAUUAUAAUUGAUUAAUUCAUUUUCCUAUUUUUGGACAACCAAUUGUUUCCAAACACUUGGUUAUUAUAAACAGUAUUGCAACACAUAUCCCUGUAGCUAAGAUUUUGGUUAUAUCCUACUUUGUUUUACUAGGACAAGAGUUGGUGAGGAAUGAAUUAUUUGGAAAGAAAAGAAUCAAAUCACAAGUAUCUAAUAUUUUCUGAGGGUGAAAUGCCAAAUUAAUUGAGGCAAAACAAAACAAAGCAACCAGGUGACUAAAAAAAUGAAGAGUUUCGUUAUAGAAAAAUGAAAAUUAAACCAAGAAAAUUCAGAAACAUAUUAGAAAGUGAGUUGGGAAAAUGUUCACAAUUAUAAACUCUUUCCUCCGCUUUAUGCUAUAGUUAGAUGGACCAGUAAGAUGUAAAUAUGUCAUAAAUAAAAUGGAAAAAAUAUGGAGUACACAGAAGUACAGAGUAAUGUAGUAAUUAAAACUUGCCAAGAGGGACACCUGGGUGGCUCAGCGGUUGAGCAUCUGCCUUUGGCCCAGGGCAUGAUCCUGGAGUCCUGGGAUCGAGUCCCACGUUGGGCUCCCUGCAUGGAGUCUGCUUCCUUCUCUGGCUGUGUCUCUGCCUCUCUCUCUGUGUCUCUCAUGAAUAAAUAAAUAAAUAAAAUCUUAAAAAAAAUUGCCAAGAAUGACAAAAAGGAGCUAGAAAAGAUCAAAGAAGAGUAAUCGUUAAGAUCUAUAAGAAUGAGUUUGUAUGGAUUGCCUAGAUUAUACUGUUGCAUUUUGAAAGAUGAAGACUAAGAGAUUAUGUGGCCAAAAUUAAUGAAAUUGUGAUCCAAGGUGAGGUGAAGAGAGAUACACUCUUCUUUUCCAUAUUUCACAAAGCAAGAAAUUAAGAAUGCCCUUUGAAACUUGAUACUGAUACUUUGAAGAAAAAAAAAAA
rnacentral:lncRNA from 1 species